AUUGAAACACUAGUUCUCAUAUGAUCACCAAAGUUAAGCAACAUCAAGACUGGUAAGUACCUUGAUGAGUCACCACUUGGGAAUACCAGGUGCUGUAA